AAGUCGUAACAAGGUUUCCGUAGGUGAACCUGCGGAAGGAUCAUUAAAUAUUUGGUGCAAUAGACGCUUCGGCGCCUACCAAAACAGUAGAAGGUGGGGGGAAACGUCUAGCCGCUUCUCGUCCCCUCCACCGGGCAAUUAUCCCCCAACUGUGCACCUAUUGAAAGGAACUUGGUCGAGAAAAAAAAAAAAAAAGAAGCACAAAAGUUUUUUGGCAUCUUCUUUUUUUGUGGCCACCUGUAAAUAACCUUAGUCUAAACGUUUGUCUGAUCUUUUACUUAUAACGAGUAAAAAAACCAAUACAACUUUCAACAACGGAUCUCUUGGCUCUC
rnacentral:misc_RNA from 1 species